ACAGGUGAAGUUUUGGGCCCAGGCGUCGAUGUCGGCGGCGGUGGGAAGACCGACCGCUACGUACUUCCGGUUGGCCCGCAUGAUGCUGAACUCGCUGCAGAGCAUGGCGGCCGCCGUCACGUUGGCGAUGUAUGGGUUGAAGGUGGACGUCAGGUACUCGGACAGAGCCUGACAGGCAGCCUGCAGGGGGACAGUGGGGUUUACAGUUAAAGAACUGAAUUUGAACAGUCAGAUGAAGCUGAAACAGUUCCUUCCUACAUCUGUCAGCACAGAUAAACACUUGAGGCAGCUUCCUCCAAAAAGAGGAAACAAAGGUGGUUUGGUUGUUUGUAUUUUUGCUGAUUCAGGCCUGGUCAUCUGUGAAGAGCGUUACAGUAUUUCACCAUGGCUUAA